GAUAACUCAGUUAGUUAGAGAGUGGUGCUGAUAAUGCCAAAGUUGCAGGUUCGAUUCCCGUAUGGGACA